rnacentral:lncRNA from 10 species
GACUCCCUGGAAGUUUCCUAAAAUGUUUCUGUGGGCCUAAAUCCUUUGGCCUUCAUUGGCAUCACCAGCACUGGAGCUAUUCCAGUGAGGAUUUUUGCUGCGGCACAUCACGGAGUGGCAUGAGAGGUCAGAGAACUCCUAGUAUCCCCCAAAUAUCCAUUCUGUUCUUCUUCCUUAGUGAUGGGCCCCCGACAUGAAACUGGCACUCAGAAUGAAGAAUGCCUUUUCCAGCCUCCCUCGCUGGUGGAGUCUCCGUGUUCCAGCCAAUGAAAGGAGGAAGCCUGGACAGCCUGCAGUUGAGGGGACCUGCACAAGCUCACAGGACUCUUCAUCACCAUGACACCACGCUCACCGCAA